UCCGUGUUAACCACGGCAGUCUCUUUAGAGUGCCCAACUUAAUGCUGGCAACUAAAGACAGGGGUUGCGCUCGUUGCGAGACUUAACCCAACAUGUCACCACACGAGCUGACGACAGCCAUGCAGCACCUGUCACCUUGUCGUAUUGCUACGAAGACUGUAUCUCUACAGCUGUCAAGGGAUGUCAAACCCAGGUAAGGUUCUUCGCGUUGCUUCGAAUUAAACCACAUGAUCCACCGCUUGUGCGGGCCCCCGUCAAUUCCUUUGAGUUUUAAUCUUGCGACCGUACUUCCCAGGCGGGAUACUUAAUGCGUUAGCUGCGACUCGGCAGGGGUCAAGUCCCACCAAAUCUAGUAUCCAUCGUUUACAGCGUGGACUAC
rnacentral:misc_RNA from 1 species